rnacentral:lncRNA from 1 species
UUACUUUAGUAGGCAUGUUAUGAUUUCGAUGACUAAAAUUCACAAAAUGAAAAUUGACCGUAUGAUGUGAUCAUUAUAGUGAAACAUGACUAUGGUAUAAAAUUCAACUGGAUUUAACAAUGUUCGGGGCUCGAUCAAAGCGGUCAACCCUAAUUCAUAUUCAUUUAUCACACGAAAACUAUCUUACCUACCUCUUUGUGUACCUAGUUUGGUGGAUUCUUCAACACAAUAAAGUCUCACAUAGAUGAGAUUUAACCACCCAUGUAAAACUUUGGGGACAUUUACCACCCGAGGAUAGGGCUCUCCUUAGUGAAGCAUAAACGUAAAUAGGGUUGACCGCUUCGAUCGGGGCCCAAACAUUGCCAAAUUAAAGUGAUUUUUCUACAGUAGCCAUAUUUUACUAUACCGAUCACAUCCUAUUUCACAAGAUUUUUGAAAAUUUUGCUUCCUCUAUAUAGUUGGUUCACAAAAUUGUACACUAGCAUAUAACCUACCAAACAAGUUAUACCACAUUAGUAGGUACGUUGUGAUUCCAAUGACUAAAAUUUAGACGCAGUUGUGAAGUGGGUCCCGCCAGUGGUUUGUGACAUUUUUCGGUGAAUUUUUCCGACACUAGAGCUAUUUUCUAUGCAUUUUUAAAGUUUUGAAAUGGUGGAAAAAAAGUAAAACUUUAAUGACAUGGACAGAUUAGUGACUUAGGACGAAUGAGGUCGCAACAUGUGGCAAUUAGUGUUGAAUUUUCAGAAAAGGAAUCUCCCGAAAUGGAAACUUACCAUACUUUUUAUAGUAGAUUUCCAUAAAUAGUAACUUUUGUUUUUAAAGCAUAACUAUCCCCCCAAAAUGGAAACUUACCCUUCCUUUUAUAGUUGAUUUCCAUAAAUAGUAACUUUUGUUUUUAGAGCAUAACUAUCCCCCCAAAAUGGAAACUUACCAUUCCUUUUAUAGUUGAUUUCUAUAACUAAUAACUUUCGUUUUUAGAGCAUAACUAUCCCCCCCAAAAUGGAAACUUACCCUUCUUUUUAUAGUUGAUUUCCAUAAAUAGUAACUUUCAUUUUUAGAGCAUAACUAUCCUCUCAAAAUGGAAACUUAGCCUUCCUUUUAUAGUUGAUUUCC